rnacentral:rRNA from 1 species
UCGAGAAUCUUCGGCAAUGGACGCAAGUCUGACCGAGCGACGCCGCGUGUGGGAUGAAGGCCUUCGGGUUGUAAACCACUGUCAGAGGGGAGGAAAUGCCGGUGGGUACUCCCAUCGGUUUGACAUAGCCUCAGAGGAAGUACGGGCUAAGUUCGUGCCAGCAGCCGCGGUAAGACGAACCGUACGAACGUUAUUCGGAAUCACUGGGCUUAAAGGGUGCGUAGGCGGCGCAGUAAGUUGGGUGUGAAAUCCCUCGGCUCAACCGAGGAACUGCGCCCAAAACUACCGUGCUCGAGGGAGAUAGAGGUGAGCGGAACUUAGGGUGGAGCGGUGAAAUGCGUUGAUAUCCUAAGGAACACCGGUGGCGAAAGCGGCUCACUGGACCUCUUCUGACGCUGAGGCACGAAAGCUAGGGUAGCGAACGGGAUUAGAUACCCCCGUAGUCC